CUUUCAAUUAAUGGUUAGUAUUAACGAGCUGUAGGAAGAUUUUAGUCAAUAGCAUCGAUAUAUGUUCAAUGGGACUUCACGAUCUAAGGUUACGUUUUGGGAUUAUCCCUCAAGACCCUGCACUCUUCGAUGCAUGGUUCUUGAAGAUUCAACUUGGAUCCAUUGAGCUAGCAUAAAGAUGAACAAAUAUGGGAGGUGCUUGAGAAAUGUCAGCUGAAAGAGGCAGUCCAAGAAAAAGAUCAGGGCCUACAUUCCUUAGUUGUGGAGGAUGGAGAAAAUUGGAGCAUGGGACAACGACAAUUAUUUUGUCUAGGACGACUUUACUAAGGAGAAGCAAAGUAUUGGUGCUCGAUGAAGCAACUGCUGUUGUUUAUGUGUCACAUCGUCUUUCUGUUGUUUAUGUCUAGGACGUGCUUUUAUUUAUGUGUCACGUCGACUUUCUGCUGCUGUUGCUGCUGUUUGAAUUUGAAUCUUGGAUUCGCUUGUGUUGUUCACUAGCUUGUAAUAUUUCUAGACCUGAUCAAACGGCGGGCCGGACUGGGUUCGGGCCGGGCCUGGGCAUAAAAAAUCGGACCGCUAUGUCGGGUCGGGCCAAGGUCCGGCCAAAAAUUUGUGCCCAAACCCGCUAUUUUUGGGCCUAAAA